UACGUAGGGUGCAAGCGUUGUCCGGAAUUAUUGGGCGUAAAGGGCUCGUAGGCGGUUUGUCGCGUCGGGAGUGAAAUCCACUGGCUUAACUGGUGGCUUGCUUUCGAUACGGGCAGACUGGAGGUAUGCAGGGGAGAACGGAAUUCCUGGUGUAGCGGUGAAAUGCGCAGAUAAUCAGGAGGAACACCGGUGGCGAAGGCGGUUCUCUGGGCCGAUAUUGACGCUGAGGAGCGAAAGCGUGGGGAGCGAACAGG
rnacentral:rRNA from 1 species